AUCAGAACUCGAUGAUUCAUGGCUGGAGGAGUACUAUAGAAAAUGCGUUGCAAAUAUUUAAUAACAACAUGCAAAAUGCAUUUGAGAACACGGUACGACUAAUAGACGGGGCUGAGUCACAGCGCCUUAAACGUGUUAGUACUGGGUCUCCCGACAUCAGCAAAGAUGACUCACAAAUCGCUAAUAAUACUGGAUACGCGUAAUAGUGUGAAAAGAGGGUGUGAACACACAGAGGGGGGAAAUAAAGACAUAUUGGAAUAACAAA